AGAGUUUGAUCAUGGCUCAGAUUGACGCUGGCGGCAGGCUUAACACAUGCAAGUCGAACGGUAACAGGGAGGAAGCUUGCUUUCUUUGCUGACGAGUGGCGGACGGGUGAGUAAUGCUUGGGAAUCUGGCUUAUGGAGGGGGAUAACUACGGGAAACUGUAGCUAAUACCGCGUAAUAUCUUCGGAUUAAAGGGUGGGACCGUAAGGCCACCUGCCAUAAGAUGAGCCCAAGUGGGAUUAGGUAGUUGGUGGGGUAAAGGCCUACCAAGCCGACGAUCUCUAGCUGGUCUGAGAGGAUGACCAGCCACACUGGAACUGAGACACGGUCCAGACUCCUACGGGAGGCAGCAGUGGGGAAUAUUGCACAAUGGGGGGAACCCUGAUGCAGCCAUGCCGCGUGAAUGAAGAAGGCCUUCGGGUUGUAAAGUUCUUUCGGUGAUGAGGAAGGCGGUUGUUUUAAUAGAACAAUCGAUUGACGUUAGUCACAGAAGAAGCACCGGCUAACUCCGUGCCAGCAGCCGCGGUAAUACGGAGGGUGCGAGCGUUAAUCGGAAUGACUGGGCGUAAAGGGCACGCAGGCGGUGACUUAAGUGAGAUGUGAAAGCCCCGGGCUUAACCUGGGAAUUGCAUUUCAUACUGGGUCGCUAGAGUAUUUUAGGGAGGGGUAGAAUUCCACGUGUAGCGGUGAAAUGCGUAGAGAUGUGGAGGAAUACCGAAGGCGAAGGCAGCCCCUUGGGAAUAUACUGACGCUCAUGUGCGAAAGCGUGGGGAGCAAACAGGAUUAGAUACCCUGGUAGUCCACGCUGUAAACGCUGUCGAUUUGGGGAUUGGGCUUUAAGCUUGGUGC
rnacentral:rRNA from 1 species